rnacentral:rRNA from 1 species
AGUGAACGCUGGCGGUAGGCCUAACACAUGCAAGUCGAACGGCAGCACAGUAAGAGCUUGCUCUUACGGGUGGCGAGUGGCGGACGGGGGAGGAAUACAUCGGAAUCUACUUUUUCGUGGGGGAUAACGUAGGGAAACUUACGCUAAUACCGCAUACGACCUACGGGUGAAAGCAGGGGAUGUUCGGACCUUGCGCGAUUGAAUGAGCCGAUGUCGGAUUAGCUAGUUGGCGGGGUAAAGGCCCACCAAGGCGACGAUCCGUAGCUGGUCUGAGAGGAUGAUCCGCCACACUGGAACUGAGACACGGUCCAGACUCCUACGGGAGGCAGCAGUGGGGAAUAUUGGACAAUGGGCGCAAGCCUGAUCCAGCCAUACCGCGUGGGUGAAGAAGGCCUUCGGGUUGUAAAGCCCUUUUGUUGGGAAAGAAAAGCAGCAGGUUAAUACCCCGCUGUUCUGACGGUACCCAAAGAAUAAGCACCGGCUAACUUCGUG